rnacentral:lncRNA from 1 species
CACAGACACACCUGCAUGCACACACAAGCUUGCACAGACACACCUGCAUGCACACACAGGCUUGCACAGACACACCUUCAUGCACACACAGGCUUGCACAGACACACCUGCAUGCAUACAAGGCUUGCACAGACACACCUGCAUGCACACACAGGAUUGCACAGACACACCUGCAUGAACACAAGGCUUGCACAAACAAGCACAUAGUGCAUACACCCAAACAAAUGCAAGCUCGAAAACAUACUCAUGCAUGAACACACUCAGAGCAUGCAUACACCCAAGCAGACAAUCAAAGUGUGCACACAUGCACACUUGCACAGUGCACACAUGCACACAUCCACACAUGCACACAUGCACAUACCCAUACCACUCAUGCUUGUGCACAAUUUCAAAUGCACAUGCUCAGAGUAGGCAGACACUCAAAUACAGACACACUCAUGCACACACUACAAGUGUACACACACAAGCAUACAUUCUCAUGUUUGCAUACAUCCAAAGCACACAAACAAAGGCACAUGUGCCCUCAUGAUGCACACAUGAGUGCAAACUUCCAAAGUGUACAUACCCAAAGCAUUCACACACAAGAAAUCUGUAUGCUUUCACACAUGCACACCUGCAUGCAUGUACACUCAAAGCAUGCCACACACAUCAGUGCACACCCCCAGAGCAUACACAUACAAGCACAUGUACUGCCAUGCAGUGCAUACGCAAAGCAUGCACACAGCCACACACGUGCAUGUGUACAAGCCCACAGACAUACACAGACAUGCUUCACAACUGCACUCUAGAAGAGAGCACGGGGCAGAUGGCUCGGUGGUUACCUCUGCAGACUGACACUGGAGAAAUCCAUAAGUUACUCAUUGCUGAGGCUUGGGAGAAGGCUCAGUUGGCAAAGUGCUGGCCACACAAGCAUGGAGACCAGAAUUUGCCCCCAGAACCCACAUAAAAAGCCAGGUGUUGUGACAUACACUUCUAAUCCCAGCCCCAGGAGGCAGGUGGAUCCCUAACACACUCUGGCUGGCCAGCCCAGACAGAUGCAUGGGUUAUAGGUCUCAAGAAUAAGAUAGACGGCAUUAUGAAUAAUAAUAUCCGAAGUCAACCUCUGGCCGCCACGCAAGCACACAUGUGUGCACCUCCAUACACACUCACCACACAAACACAUGAACAAAAUCCACAGUGGUGCCCAGACAUACAUUCAGGCAAAACACUCAUACACAUUAAAUUAAAUAUUAAGAAGUUAAAUUUAUAUAAUAAAUCUUUUAGGAAAUUAAAGUCCAUGCUGAAUGGAGGCUGCACAGCAUUGUCUUCAUCCUUCCACCCCAGGACCUCACACCUACUUCCAGACUGUCGUCACAAAGCAGGGGAGCCCGCCAAGACCUCCCAUUAAGAGGGGGAACUAGAAGAAGUUUGCAGCCCUUCCUUGGAUCCAGCCAGGCAUCUGUGAGCCCAAAAAGGGCCGCCAGGCAUGAGAGGUAGAUGUCCUCAAAAUCUGCAGGCACGGGGGGGAUGCAGUCACACACAGAGGCACACCUGUGUGUAACAUGCAUUUACACUCACAGGCACAUAGUAAACAAAGAUCCAAAAGUACACACAGAGAUAGCCACACACCCAUAGCCACACACACACUCACACACACACACACUCACACACACACACACACUCACACACACUCACACACACACACACACACUCACACACACACACACACACUCACACACACUCACACACACACACACUCACACACUCACACACUCACACACACACUCACACACAGAGACACUCACAGACACUCACACACACUCACACACACUCACACACACUCACACAGACACUCACACACACAGACACUCUUUCUCUUACAUCUUAUGAACACAGAUACAUGCAUAAAUACUCGAAAGGCAUCAUUCAUUCACACAGAGUCACCCCACGCAGACGUGUGCUCGCAUACACACAGGGAAAUACAUUCACACACAACAGAUAGAGAUAUACAUGCUAACACCCAGUCAUUCAUGCACACACUAAUACCCAGAUUCACGCACACACACACUCCCCUGCAUCAAUGCUCUUUUUUCUUUUUCUUCCCCCACCUCACCCCCUCCACACCCCAUGUGUACUAAAGUCUGACAUAGCCCAGGCUAUCGGUGAACUCAUUAUAUAGCAAAGUAUGACUGUGAACUUCUGAUUCUCCUGCCUCUGCCUCCUGGGUGUUGGGAUUACAAAUAUGCACCACCUGCCUAGCUGUACCACGGUUUGUCUUAAAGGAGACUUCAGCAGUAGGAAGUUGAGAACAGAGCAGACCACAGGGACAGUAAAGUCAAGGUCGGACCAAAGGCAGGGUUAAGACUAAGGUCGGACUAGUGCCAAAGUCAACACCUGCACUGCCAGCCCCGCUCUUCCUCCUUACUUUGGCCUCUAGGUGUCAGGAUCCACAGCCAGGGGAGGGAUACCCGCCUACCAGCUCUCUCUGGGCUCCUCUACCUCGCGGCCAAGAAACUUCAAGUCAGACCAGUUCCCACAAGCAGCACUAGGUGGCGCUCCGCUAACAAAGAUCUGAAUGGACCUCACAGCCAGCUCAGCCCAAGUCACAGCGCCCCAGGUCCUCAAUCCGCACGUGUCCCAGCCUCAGCUUCCAUCUAAGGCCUGAGCCGCAUGCCUCUACAGCGGUGGAUAAAUGGAAGAUCUUCAGAGUGGAGCAGAGGCAGGGCCGGAACGACCUCGCUGACAGAGCUGCUACUUACCCAGUGAGGGGCUGGUAGCCUGGCUCAGCAUCACAACACCUGCAAAACCCUGGAUCCUAUCUCCAGCGCUGGAAAGUAAUAAGUUAAUUAAGCUAAAGGUGGGAUUGAUGCAGCACACAUAGUGGCUGCUGACUAUAAUCAGCACUCUGGAGGCUGAAGGGAGGAGGGACUGCGCUUCAAGGGCAGCCUGAGCUACGUGGUGAGUUCUGGACUGCAUGAGACCCUGACUCAAAAACUAAAUAAACUGAAAAAAUAAAAACAUGAUGCAUGCCCACAGAAUAAAGGAGACCCCUGACCCACAACAUGGCGAGCCUGAGUCAGACCCCUCUGGUCUGACCCUCACUCAGCUCUGCCUCAAGCCCUCCAAGGACAAAUUAGGUAACAACAGGUGCAAGGUGCAGACCCAUAAUUCCCACACCAGAGAGGCUGAAGCAGGAGGAUUUCGAUGAAUUGGAGGUCAGCCUGGGCUACACAAAGAGACUCUGACUCAAAAGUAAGAGCUGGCCAUGGUGGAACAGUCUGGAAUCCCAGUACUAGAGAGACAGAGACAGGAAGAUCAUGAGUUCAAAGUCGUUCUGGGCUACACAACAUCCCAGCCUGGGAUGCUUGAGAUACUGUCUCAAAAAUGGGGGGAGGGCAGGAGAAGGAAGAAUGAAAGAAAAAGGGAGAGGAGGAGGAAAUAAUACUCAGAUUCCUUCAAGGACAGACGCUCACAUCUGAGCCUUGCAUACCCUUCCUGUGACAAGGAGCUCAUCACCCCUCAAGGCCUCUUAACCCACCUCCUCACAGCUGUGACUACAGAUUAACUGGAUUCUGCCCCUGUCAUUCUGGCCUUCCUGUCUAGUCGUGGCAUCUGGGCUUUGUAAGGUCCCUGUGGAGUCUACAGAGAGUGUCUUCCUUCCCAGAGCAACUCCAUCAGAUCUGAGCAGAUAUCACUGCUCCUCAGACACACUUAGUCUCAGAACUCAGUCCUGUGAGAUGCAAUGGGCAGGCCUGGCUUGCAGUCCCACGUCUUCAAUGCCAAAAGAAGAGGGACAGCAGAGAAGAGAAGGGACCCAAAGCCAAGUUCCACAAAGCAACUCAGAAAAUGUCUACGGAGCGCUGGGAAUGUGGCUCAGUUGUGAGUGCAUGACUAGGCUGUGAGAUGCUGUGGUUCCCAGCCCAGCACCAUACACACACUGGUACUGUGGUCCCAGAACUUAGGAGGCAAACAGACACAAGAGGAUCAGGGGUUCGAGGCCAUCCUUGGCUACAUAGCAAGUUCAAGGCCAGCCUAGGCUACACAAGACCCUCUCUCUAAAAAAUGUUAAAAAAUAAAACGUUCGUGUGUGAUAGCUCAGUGAGUAAAGGACUUGCCUUGCAAGUAUAAGAAUCUGAGUUAAUUUCCCAGAAUCCAUAUCAUUUUUUUUAAGAUGGGCAUUGUGGUAUGUGCUUGUAAAUCCUAAUGUUGGGGGAAAUGGAGACCAGUGAAUCCUCAGGGCUUGUUGGCCAGCCAGCCCAGACUAAUAGGAAACCCUUUCUCGAAACAGAGUGCACAUUGUCCUGACAAACAACAUAACACACACACACACACACACACACACACACACACACCACAUAACACACCACACAUACACACACAUACCUCCACACAACACACACUUACAUACACCACACACACACACAUACCACAUACACCAUACAUACACACCACAUACACACACACCACAUAUUCCACAAACACACCACAUAUACCACACAUACCAUACACAUACACACCACACAUACACCAUACACACACACAUCCCCCAAAGCACAUACACUUACAUACAUCUAAACACGCACACACACACUUGCACACCCAGAACAUAUCCACAGAUUGAUUGAUUGACACUUUACAAGAAUCAAACACUUUUCACAUGGCACCCCCGGCUGUAGCCAGAUUACUGCCCUAUAAAUGAGUAAGAAAUGUGUUGACUGAUUCAUGAGGAGACAGAGCCAAGCCCAAGACAGUCACCCAAGGAUGACGAAGCUCUGUAACUCUAAUGACUGCCUGCUGAACAAGUUAUCAGUUCUGCCUGGAGGGCAAGGAGAGGCCCCGGAAGGCUUCGCAGAGGAGGGGACAAUUCGCUCACUACCCAUUAGUGGUGUUUGGGUUGCAACCAACCUGGUGACCUAGUGACUGUUGCCUUGGGAGAGAUGGGCUGGUGAAAGGAUGAGCG